CCUACGGGUGGCAGCAGUAGGGAAUAUUGCUCAAUGGGGGAGACCCUGAAGCAGCAACGCCGCGUGGAGGAUGAAGGUUUUCGGAUUGUAAACUCCUUUUGUUAGAGGAGAUAAUGACGGUAUCUAACGAAUAAGCACCGGAUAACACCGUUCCAGCAGCGGCGGUAAUACGGAGGGUGCAAGCGUUACUCGGAUUCACUGAGCGUAAAGAGCGCGUAGACGGGAUAGCAAGUCAGAUGUGAAAUCCUAUGGCUUAACCAUAGAACUGCAUUUGAAACUGUUAUUCUAGAGUAUGGGAGAGGUAGGUGGAAUUCGUGGUGUAGCGGUAAAAUCCGUAGAGAUCAAGAGGAAUACUCAUUGCGAAGGCGACCUGCUAGAACAUAACUGACGCUGAUGCUCGAAAGCGUGGGGAGCAAACAGGAUUAGAUACCCGAGUAGUC
rnacentral:rRNA from 1 species